AUAUCACAGCCGUGCUUAAGGGCU
rnacentral:miRNA from 1 species